rnacentral:tRNA from 1 species
AGAAAAGAAAGUUAAGCUUCUAACUUAAUAAAUGGAUAACCACUUUUCUU